rnacentral:rRNA from 1 species
UGCGUAGGCGGUGCAGCAAGUCGGGUGUGAAAUCCUCCAGCUCAACUGGAGAAUUGCGCCCGAAACUGCUGUGCUUGAGAAAGAUAGAGGUACGCGGAACUUAGGGUGGAGCGGUGAAAUGCGUUGAUAUCCUAAGGAACACCGGUGGCGAAAGCGGCGUACUGGGUCUUUUCUGACGCUGAGGCACGAAAGCUAGGGUAGCAACG